GUAUAAAAGAACACCUUGUAGUUUCACACUGCGAAGUAAAACAUGGAGCAAAAGUGAGUGUACUCUGCCCACCUCGAGGUGCCUGGCUUGCAUUUUUCUGUUGUUUUCUUUGGCCGCUCUCCUGUUUCCCACACAGAUACGGACUUAGCCCUUGCACCCGGGGACCAGAUAGAGGGUGUAGCUGUGUGUUUCCCAGGGUAGGAAAAUUUUCCUGGAUCAAGGAUUUUAAGAGCUUAAUACUACUCCGUGAAGUCCUGCUUUUUUGUACACUGUAAGGAUGGAAUCCUGACUGGCAUCCCUCAUAAACUGUUCUGCUAAUGCUUCUGGGGAUAAACUUGAGCGGUGCAGCUGAUGCUGCCAAGGCUCUGGGUGCAUUUUGUCAGCUGAUUCCGGACGUGUUUACCGCCUCCUUCCUGAGGAGACUUGCUCAACUCUCGGCUCCCACGAAGAGCCUGGCAGUGGGACUUGUCCCUGCCCUGCCACAUGGAAGGACGGGGUCAUUCUGGGGGCCUCGUUCCCAUGCCUGCUCCUCGCUCCAUCUUUCCCCUCUUCUCUCUUCCUGUUUCUGCUUCUUUGGCUCUGCUUUCUCUUGGUUUUGGUGGAGAGUUGAGCUCAUUUCACACAUGUGAUCACUUGAUGUAGUGCAUUCCUAACUUUUCAGGUCUGGGGUGUUAACGACAGCAGGCUCUGUUCUGGCCUUUAGCAGGUAUUUUCUCACCAUUUGAAUUCUUCUGGCGUGUACUUCAAUGCGUUCUUCUAAAGUAUCUUCACUUGCCUUUCUCGCCUUCAAAGGAGCUGGUGCUCAGAGUGAGAAAUAGGAGCAGCACCUUGGUGUGUGAAGUGAAUGUGGCUUAAGGCAGCUGGCUCCCUGUGCCCCUCUCUUCACCUUCGGGGAGGAAACGUCAUCACCACAGAGCAUGAAUUUGCCCGUGGAGUCUUUCUUCCCUGCUCAUACCCAUGGCUGUGAGGGACCCCAGCUGACCACAGAGUUCCACUGUGCCCUCCUGAUACCCAGGCUUGCCUCCCAGCUGCCGAGAGCUGUACACACUUCUGUUGCGGCUCCAACUCUCCCAGCCAGCUGGAUGGUGUCAUCAGCAUUACAAGGUGGUGGCUCAGGAUGAAGUUGUCUGUUCCAGAAUGUCCCCAUGGACUGUCCCCUGUGGUUUCCAUGAACAACCCUGGGGCUCCACACCCAGGCUAAGAUCAAGGAAAGACCAACUGCAUGAUGAGACAGUGCAUAGACAGAACAGGGCCUCCAGUACAUGUCCACCCGGAACCAAGUUAACAUGAGGUGGCACUAGGUCAGGCUGUCUCCAAACCAAUGACUUAGGUCUUUGUAAGGAAAAUGUAGGGAGAUUUGAGAUGCAGAUACAGAGGAGGAUGACAUGUAAGAAUGGAGGCAGAGAUGGGAACAAUGCAGAAAUGAGCUGAGAAUUCCCAGCAGCCAACAGAUGCCAGAAGAGACAAGGAAGGUCUUCCUCC
rnacentral:lncRNA from 1 species